rnacentral:rRNA from 1 species
CACGAGUACUUGUACUUGGUGGCGACCGGCGCACGGGUGCGUAACGCGUAUGCAACCUACCUUAUACUAAGGGAGUAGCCCAGAGAAAAUUUGGAUUAAUACCCUCAUAGUAUCAUUUGAAAGGCAUCUGAGAAUGAUUAAAGAUUUAUCGGUAUAAGAUGGGCAUGCGUAAGAUUAGUUAGUUGGUGAGGUAACGGCUCACCAAGACUUCGAUCUUUAGGGGUUCUGAGAGGAUGAUCCCCCACACUGGUACUGAGAUACGGACCAGACUUC